rnacentral:lncRNA from 1 species
GAGAAAGCAAAAAAAAAAAAGAAAAAAAAAAAGAGAGAGCAUCGUUCCUGAUAUUGAUAAUCGGAGGAGAAGAGAUCGUGAUAUUGAUUAUCAGAGCUCGUUUGAUUCAAGGACCAAGCCAAGCACAACUAGCAAUAAAAAAAAACAAUAGAAACCGCACAAAGAAAAAUAGGCGAUGGAGGGAACAUCGCAACAUGUGAUUCCUAUAUUUGAUGGGGAUAAGUAUGAAUUCUGGCGUAUAAAGAUGACGACCAUCUUCAAGACCAGAAAGUUGUGGACGGUGGUGGAAAAGGGAUUCCAGAUGCGCCAACACAAGUAGAGCAAACUCCGGAA